CUAAUCUUAAAUAAUCCUUAACCAAUUGCUUGUCUAGAAAUAUGGGGGUACUAAUCUCAUGGAGGUCCUGUACAACUGCACAGGUCGCACGCCCCUGGGAUGAUGACGUUAAAGUCGGCAUAGGCGGGCCGGGAAUUGUUAUCUAGAAGAACUAUGGCAUGUCUAAAUCUACUAACCAACCAAACAUGUGCUUCAAUUGAUGUGGUAACCACACUUGUAGCUUGGCGAGUAGUGGUUUGAAACCAAGGACGCCUUCAUUCUGCAACCAUCAAAGGUAAUGUGGUGCUCUCUCAGGGAAUCUUGGUAACUGCAGUGGCACCACAUAGGUUAAUGUGCUGAUUGGAAAAUGGAAUGCAGGAUUUGGAGAACACAUCAUGUGUAACUAUGGGUUACGGUGAUGCAUAAAAAAAUCAUCCACAAAAAUGAAUAGAUAGAGCAUGUAAACAUCAUCAUCAUGCAAUGUUUGAGGUUGAACAAAAAC
rnacentral:lncRNA from 1 species